GGCUGGUUAGCUCAGUGGCUGAGCGCGGUGCUGACAACAGUGACAACACCGAGGCUGCGGGUUCGAUUCCUGCUCGGUCC
rnacentral:tRNA from 1 species